AUGCAGCCCCGUAACAACAGGGACGUGGCCAACUGCGUGGAGUGCUACGCCAGUGAGCACAAGGUUACAGAGGAGGUCGCCUUUGCUGCCAUCGACUCGAUGAUAGAAGAUGAGUGGAAGAUCACAAACCAAGCUCGAUUCAAACAUGGUCGUGAGCUGCUGCCUGCGGUGCAACAGGUCAUCAACUUCACUCUCAGCGGGCCGGUGUACUACGGUGAUAGGAAAGAUGCUUUCACCUUCAGCUCGCAUCUUGAAGACAUCAUCAAGAGCCUCUUUGUCAAUCCCAUUCCCAUCUAG
rnacentral:rRNA from 1 species